GUGGGUGUGCAACGAAAGCUCUUUUUGACUUGCGGUAUUAAAGAUCCGGAACGUUAUAAAAUGUCUUGGUUUUCAGAUCCUGUUAAGAAUCGCAAGAAGAAACAAUGGCUGUGGAGGACCUUGAACCUCACCCCGAAGACUUGGAGCCUGGGAAGCAAUAAACCAGAUAAGUCACGCUUCCCUGCUCUCUGUUCUCCUUCUCUGCUGUGCCGUUCUCCUGACUCCCCUGGUCUGUCUCUGCCUCUUUCGGUCCUCCUCCUCCUCCUCCUCCUCCUCCUCCUCUUCUCCCCCUCCUCUUCUUUUUGGUGCAAUUUUAUCUCCAGUUUCAUAUCAUUUGCUUUUUCUGCACUUUCUUUGACUUAAUCAUAAGCCAGAAAAUGACAUAGCCUAACUUUUCAGCUCGCUGCACCAAGGGCUAUAAGGGUUCAGCACGAUGAAGGAGAUGUUUCUGAUGUCUGCAAGAAGCUCAUACUCUGGCGGAGAUGAGCUCUGGACGUGUCAGGGGUGGUGAAAGGAGAAAUAUCAUUUGUUGGGGGAUCAAGGAAAGCUAUGCUGAGAGAGGUAGGAUUAGCUGAUAAUGCGAUGCAAGGUUUUGAUGGCAAGACUGAAGGCUGAAGUAGCUGAUGUUCUAGAGUUGGAUACUCUUUUUUUUUUUUAUGAAAUUUAUUGACAAAUUGGUUUCCAUACAACACCCAGUGCUCAUCCCAAAAGGUGCCCUCCUCAAUACCCAUCACCCACCC